rnacentral:rRNA from 1 species
GAUGAACGCUAGCGGCAGGCCUAACACAUGCAAGUCGAGGGGUAACAUUUGUGCUUGCACAAGAUGACGACCGGCGCACGGGUGCGGAACGCGUAUGGAACCUGCCCUUGUCAGGGGAAUAGCCCAGAGAAAUUUGGAUUAAUGCCCCAUGGUACCGGGACGACACAUGUCGACCCGGUUAAAGAUUUAUCGGACAGGGAUGGCCAUGCGUACCAUUAGUCAGAUGGUGGGGUAACGGCUCACCAUAACUACGAUGGUUAGGGGCCCUGAGAGGGGGAUCCCCCACACUGGUACUGAGACACGGACCAG